CACACUGUAUGUCAUGUUAAAAAGAGACACAAGUAGGGUUAAAUGAUUAAAAAAUUGGACAAGCCUCCUUAAUGGUAUGAGCCUUGCCACACCUGCAUGGGUUUGGUUGCAGCACAGUUUCCAUAUAAACAAUGACACUACAAGUACUUUGAGUGUCUACGAGAGGGACAGGACAAUUUUAUACAACUAAAUCCUGACAUUUAUUUUUCUUUGUUGAAUAUUUCUUUGUUCACAGAACACCAAGAAAACCAAACAGGGACAUAUAUCCAGUGUUUUCGACUCAAUCACUCCACAAACUUCUCCCAUACGAUUAUCUGAGGUUCUGACACAGGCAGAGGUGUCCUUCUCAGUUUUCUUUAGAAUCAAUCUCUGGAUGCUUCUGUGAGCUAAGCAAAAAGGGGACAACGCUCCUGCAAUAGACCUACAACUCAAUUGUGCCCCCAUAUGCCACAAAGUAAAACACCUUUGUGCAUGCACAAGCUAUCACCCCUGAGCUGCCCAUGAAAUGUUUUCUUGAUCAGCUACAACUGAUCUCUUUUCAUCUGUUUUAAUCAAAAUGCACCACCACAUGCAGGCAGCUUAACUCCUUUUGCUGUUCCUCUUCUCACAAGUCCCCUCGACCACCACUUUGCAUGAAAAUCUUCAUUUCUUCAUGUUCUUAAGUUUUCCAAGUUUCAAGCACGCCACAUUUGAAGCUUCUCUCCAGCCUGUACAGCAGCCUCACCCUCUCAUCCGCACCCAAGUCUUAACUGACACACGGGCCAGCACAAUCGCUUUAACCCUCAUGGCCAGAACCACAUGUGUAGAGCGACCAACACUGGCACUAGAACUAUUGAUUUCAGUAUUUUGUUGCCAGUUUGCUGGCAGGACAUCAACCCUAGCAACACAGCAAAGGUUCUUUAAUCGUUUGUGGGGUGCAAGGGUAGUUCUGGGGAGUAUCUGCAGCUGACCCGGGGCCUACUCGGCAUCUGCGUGCUGCAGCGGCAGCAGGCACUGCUUCUGGCCUUCAUCUCCAUCAACUGUUUUGAAACAACUAUCAGAGCCGCCUGGAAUGAAAGUGUUAUGGCUUAACCUUCCUGAAUACCUGUCAUAAAAAGCACUCAUCCAGGUGGUUUGCCAGAUUUUAAUUCCACUUUUUACACUUUCCAUCACUCACGGAGAAUUGCCGCAGAGCCAGUAACGUGCCAUUCUCCUCCUCGGCAGCCCGGAGCCCUGCCCGGCCGCCCUCCUCACCUUCCCCUGGCCAAGGGGACCCCCGCCGGCCCGGGACGCGCCGCAGGACGGUGCUGAAGCGGCUGCCCGGGGGGUUCGGUGUAUUUUAAAGUUCUCGGCUCGCCGGUCACCAACUUCCCC
rnacentral:lncRNA from 1 species